AUCAUCACUUGCAAAGUGUCUGGGGUCUUUGGCUGGAGUCUGCUACUCAUGUCUGAAUAUGGCUAAAGGAGUGACUUGGCUUUUCUAGGCUCCAGUUCUUUAAAUACUAAAUAAGAGCAACAUAGUGGACAACUAGAUAUCCAACCACGUAACUUGGUGACUUGGAAGUUCUUGUGUCUAUGCUUCAUGGAUGGGAAUAGUUAGUGAAUCAAACUCUGGCAGUAGAAGAGAACAUAGUGUGCCCUACGACAGACACAGCAGGAAGGCCUGGGAUGAGUGGAGUGAUCAAACACCAAGGCAGGGACAAGGGAUCUUCAUGAAAGAGGGGACUCCUGCACGUCUCAGUGUUCAAAGCUAGCAUCAUGGCAGAGGAACAUCGGCUUCUUCAUGGUGCUUCCAGCAGAGACUUUCUUUCUCUAAGACAGAUGGAUUUGCCUUGGAUCUUCAAGAACCAAAGGAUGAGCAUCCACAGGUUUUCAAGUGCUAGCACACAGAGAAACAGGCUCUGUAGUAUUCGGUGCUAGCCUUUCUGUCCCUAAAGCUGUAUGGUUUUUUCCAUCUGCAACAUUGGUCUUUCAGCAUGUUGAAGAGCUCUCUGGAUGCCCAGGACUUCAAACAUACAAAUGCAUGAUUGACUGUUCCAACCCUUUACUCAUCAAGGGAUGUUCCAUCAACCUUCUAAGCAUUCUAUAUUAAUGACAUUUUAUUCUCAACAUUUUAUUCUCAUUUUAUUUGUUUGAUACAACAGACAACUGACUCCUCACUUCCAUGUUACAGAUAUAGAAGGUGAGAGGAUAAACACAAGCAGGGGAAAGGUGUUGCAACAG
rnacentral:lncRNA from 1 species